UCUUGGGUUGUAAACCUCUUUUCUUAGGGAAGAAAAAAAUGACGGUACCUAAGGAAUCAGCAUCGGCUAACUCCGUGCCAGCAGCCGCGGUAAUACGGAGGAUGCAAGCGUUAUCCGGAAUGAUUGGGCGUAAAGCGUCCGCAGGUGGCAUUUCAAGUCUGCGGUUAAAGGUUCUGGCUCAACCAGAGACAAGCCGUGGAAACUGAAAAGCUAGAGUAUGGUAGGGGCAGAGGGAAUUCCCAGUGUAGCGGUGAAAUGCGUAGAGAUUGGGAAGAACACCGGUGGCGAAAGCGCUCUGCUAGGCCAAAACUGACACUGAGGGACGAAAGCUAGGGGAGCG
rnacentral:rRNA from 1 species